CCUCCCUGAGUCAAGACACUAUUGCUAGAGCCAAAAUGUGCAGAGUCAAGUGUACCUUGAGCCUGCAAACAAGAAGUUGUAGGUGCCCCAAGGGUGGAGGUGCUGGCCUGGAAGUCACAAGAGCUGCCUGGGUUCAGGGCACCCUGCACUAACUCUGUGGAACUGGGGGUGGAGGCCAUGCUACCCCACCUGCCCCUGGGAACUGGUCCCACCUGUCUCUGCAGGGAACCAGAAUGAUUCACUUCAGUUCAUUCUCCAAAAUUCAGGAUUUAUCUCCCUGUCAUGUGGAAGGAAAGAUGCAACUCAGAGAGAUUAAGCACAUCUCCCAGAAUCACACAGCAAGUCAGGGGCAGCACCAGACUGGCCUCCUUCACUGCACAACUAGUGGGGAGGCAGAAUUGUCCAAACACCAGGGAGCCCACCUGACUCCCCAAAGGGAGACCUCGUCUGGGUCCCCACCUCACCAUGUUCUCUCUGGUCAAUGGCUAACACGGGAUCAUUUCUAUAUUCUGUGCCUACCUGGGAAACACUUGGGCUGAGGGAAUCACUGUUGUCCACCAGAUACUCAGUGGGAGACUCAUAAUGCAUGCAAGAUGGACCCUCUUCUGUGGAAUAAGUGCCGACUCAUAGGUUGAGGUCCAGAAGGGGAUGUAGCUCCUUGGGGAGCUGCAACUCAUGGAGGAGACAGGCCAGAUUGGAUGGCCAAGAAGUCACAUCCCUGCCUUCAAGCAGGGAGCAGCACCAGAUUUCCAGGGGGAGGUCAAGCAGCCCUGAGGGGAGGUUGAGGUAGGCUGGGUUCUCCAGCAGGGAGUGGGCACCAACCUAGGGGCACUGCCUCCUUGGCAGGCAUCUCCUGUAUCUUCCUUCCUCCAUGCUCAGCACCUCCAAGAUUAUAAGUGAAGUUUACUUGCCUUGCUAAUAGAGGAGCCUCUUCCUCUGUUCUAGAGAACAGACAGCUUGACACAAUGCCCAUUUCCUGUUUUUCUUGGGCCAGGCCACCUAGGUCUCCAUUCUCCUGGAUACCCCUAGGACUUGGGUAGUGAGGUCUAUGAAAGGAAGCUAAAGGCUGCAAUUAACCUUACUGACUGUUGCUUCCAAAGAAACCUUUUCAGAGUUUUUGGUCAGGAUCUGGGGCUCUCUGCACUCCCAUCUGAUCCUGGCUCUCUGCCCUUGAGGCUGUGCAAUUUGAGGAGUGUGCAUCAAGUCCCAAGCUAUGAGUUGUGUCACCUCUCCAGGCUGUAGGUUGGCUUCGUGGUAACUACUGGAGUCAGUAUCCCCCAGUCCCCAAAACUCAGUUUCCCCACCUAAUGGAGGGCUUCCUUCCUGGGUCCUCCUCCUCUCUGAUUUUCCUGUGUGGCCAAGAUUCAUUAUCAAUAGAUUCCAUCACUGGGCAGUGGGUAAAUACCUCAUUCAGGGAAACCUCUACUUACCGAAAUAUGAUGAUUAUAAGACAAGGAUUUGGAGCAAAUAGACCAUGCUCUGAAUUCCAGUUGAACCAGUUACUAUCUGUGUUACCUUAGGCAAUCCGUUUAACAUCUCUGAAGCUCAGUUUUCAGAUGUCGGUUGGGAUAACAGGUCCUCUCUCAGGGGGCUGUGCAGGAAUGAAAUGGGAUUAUGUUGUGACUCUAAGCACAAAUAUUAAUAGUUUGUGUAACAUUGUCAUUAUUUCUUCUUCAAAUGUCACUGUGGUUUACUUACUCUCCUACUCUGAGUUCUGGCUCAGAAGUUCUGUCAAGAAGUUUCAGGUUGACUAGGGGUUUGAGUGGGGAAGGCCCCCAGACACUGGCUGCAGGAGCUGCAGCCACAUUUGAGAGCAUGGGAGCUACCACCGUGUGUUCCAAAAUAUCUAGAAACAAGGGAGAGAAAGCGGGGUGUAGUGUAGAGUGUAUUCCAGGCUCUGAGCUAGGUGCUCUGCAUAUGAGGUUUCAGUUAAUACAACUUGUUUGUGGUAAGAUGGCAUUAUCUUUAAGCCUGGAGGUCAUGAGACAUGUCCAAAGCCACAUAUCCAGUCUGAUAGAAGCUGCUGGUGGCUCUGCAGCUGUUCUAUUAUUUUAUCAGAGUAAGAAAAGUUUUAGCUGAAACAUGGCUGCCCAGAAUGAAGACUACAUUUCCCAGUCUGCUGUGGGGUGGGGUGUGGCCACAUGACUGUUCUGGCCAAGGAGAAGCAAAUGGAGACACCAGACAGCAGUUUCAAGAACCUUCCUUCAGACACAGGUGUGUGUCUGCUCUCUGCCCCUUCUUCUUUGUUUCUCCUUCUGUUCUGCAGCUUGGUAGGCACGUGCUACCUUAAGCCAUGAGGACAAGGGCCAAUCACUACCAGUAGCAGAAUGGCUACCACCAUAAAUCUUCUGUUACUCUCAUUUCUACCUCAUCCAAACUGAUGUGCCCUGUAAGUGACAGAGGGGGAGCUAUGAACCUGUGUCAAUGAGCUCUUAAACCCAGGCUUUGCCACUAUACUAUGAGGUUCCUAGGCCCCUCUCUGUGCUCCUGCUGAACCCCCAUCCGCCCUUAGGCAUGAAGCAUUCUUUGGAACUCUGAACGGAUGGUAUUGAAGAAGGAGAAGCUUAUCUAACUGUAGUUCUUCAAACUAAUUCAUUCCCAGGAUGGCUCAGGGAGGGGCCUUUGCUGGAUCCAAGGCAGCUUGGUGGCGAAAGGAAACUCCAGCCUCUGCCACAAGACUGGCCACACAGCCCGCCUUGUGACAGGUGAAGGCAGCACACAGGUAACCCUGGGAGUCUUUCUAAACUUCUCUGGCCUGAGACCCUCAGUUUCCUCUGACAGACUCUUUUGCUGGGGCACCUCCAAAGAAACUUUGCCAAGGGAACCUGCUGAAACAGGUGAGCUUUGCCCAGGAGCAUCCUCUUUCUGUGAGGAAAUUGUUCCAGGAGCAUUUGAGCCCAGCAAAAUGUCAGGUGAGCAAGGUGUGGCCCCUUCUGAUAGGAAGUAUGUUUUCUUUUAUGUAAUCUCAGCAGGGAAAGUUGCCAGCUUCAGGGCUGUAUGGGACUGAAGGUAAAACGACUGUAAGACCCUUCUGGUAAACUACCAGAGCCUUCACAUCACUAAGGAGAGCAGGUAACCCAAGCCCAACCCCCAACCCACAGCAGCUGGCUAUUUAUCUGGGAAGAUGCUAUUACAAAUAGAGAAGAUAUAUUUACUGGCUGGGCAAGGCUGAGGACAACUCUUACACUCUCAUCCUCCUCAUUUAUAAGAUGGAGAUCAUGGUCACUCCCUCUCAAGGUUAUUGCGAGAGUGAAUGAGAUUAUGAAUACAAAACACUCAAAACCUCUAAAGCAUCUUCAAACGGAAGAUGAUGGACUCUGCAUUUGUACAGUAGAAAUAUCAGUACUGUGUGCUGGGUGCAGUGGAUCACCCCUGUAAUCCUAGCACUCUGGGAGGCCGGGGGAAAGAGGAUUCCCUGAGCCCAGGAGUUCAAGACCAGCCUGAGCAAGAGGAAGACCUCCGUCUCUACUAAAAACAGAAAAAUUAGCCCAGCAUUGUGGUGGGCGCCUGUAGUCUCAGCUCCUGGGGAGGAUGAGGUAGGAGGAUCAAAUGAACCCAAAAGUUUGAGAUUGCUGUGAGUUAGGCUUACGCCACAGUACUCUAGCCUGGGCAACAGAAUAAAACUCGGUCAAGAAAAGAAGGAAGGAAGGAAGGGAGGAAGGGAGGGAAAGAAAGAGAGAAAGAAGAGUACUAUGGUUGAUGCUGUUGGUGCCUCAUCAAACUUUCACUGGACCUGUGAAUUCACACCAGCUGCUGUGAGAGGUGGCUGCUGACAGCUCACGGUUACUACCUAUCCAGACACUUCCCUCGACUGAAUGGAAGCUGCCUUGCUUGGGGUCCUGAAGCCAAUGAUUGUCUGACAUAGGAACAUGAAAGUCCAGCCCCCAAGCUAAAGACAAGAUUACCUCCAGUGAAAUGCAUGCGCCAGAGCUUCUGUGGAAUCAGGUGGAAGCUCAACCACAGCUGAGACCACAGCUUAGCCUGGCUCCUUCCUUCUCGCUCCUCUUUUGUGAGUUCUUCCUCAAUCGAUCACAGGUGCUCAAAUCUGUUUCAGCAUCUUCUUUUAGAGAACCUGACCCACAAAGUUGCUGUGAGGUCUAAAUGAUAUAAUAUAGAUAAAGAGAUUAUACCAGUGAUUGGCAUAUAUUGAGUAUUCAAUACAUAUUAAGAAAUGGUUACUAUUUGUAAGAUUGGAGCAUCAAGAACCUCUUAGUGUAGUAGUAAGGAAUGGAAAUCUGGUAGGUUGACCAAAGAAUUGAAUUUUAUAUGCUAAGGGAAAGCGGUGAGCAAAGAGGGGCCGCAGAGUUUCUUUUUAUAUCACUGGUUCUCUCAGCCUUGGGCAAUAAGGAUCCUUACACUGCUGAUGAAAAAGUUUUAGUCAUUACAUACGUAUACCAGCAGAGGGCGCCAUUUCCAUACAGAUACGUUUCUCUGCUGCUAAUCUGAAGCAGGUUUAUCAAAGCAGCCUGCAUUGGCCAGGAAGAUCAGGUAGGUGACAGAGCAGAAAGUGCCUUAAGAUUGGCAUGGAUAAUAGGAGAGCGCAGAGCACGGAGAAACUUUGAGUUAAGCUUGUCAGGGAAGCUUCCCUGGAGGUGAGACCUGGAGCUUGGCACUCAGGUACCAGAAACAGCGAAGGAGAUAGCACUCCUAGGGAAGCCACCGGCCCAGGCUAGGUGAUUAGACCAGAGCAGGGCAGUGGCAAAGAGGAGGCCAAGAGACCAAAGAGGAGAACAGGACCAUGAUGCUAGCCAAGUGAUCUAGAGGGAGGACAGUGGGCCCACUGACAUGGUCAGGAAGGUCAGCUGUCUUGACUGUCCUGUUAUGAUGUCCUCUGCAGUAUCCUCACUUUACAUGGCUCAUCCAACAAGCCAUAAUUCUGUAGGAUUCCUGCUUUGCAUGGAUUCCAGAAACCAAUACUCAGAGGUGUUGAUAGUGUCAAGAUUCCACUGGCUCUUUCCAUUUAGAAUAAAGAAGCCAAGAAACACCCCAGAGCUUGCCCUUGAUUCUGACCUGCGGGUUGUGUAUAUCUAUCAGGCAGGGUGGAAAUUAAUGCAGAGAGAAUAAGCCAGAACGUCCUAAGGACCAAGCAGAGUAGAAAAAUAAGUAACAAAUUUGAAAGCGGACAGCUACCACAGACUGGAGUUCAGUCCUUGUUGGAGGUGUGGUUGUGGUUCUGUGAUAGUGGAGUCUUCAGGGUUGUCCUGGACAGAACUGGUCCACGGUCCUAGAGCCGGCAGUGACGGGCAGAAAACCACAGCCUGGGGCUGGUGGGCUGCCUUCUUCUGGGGAGCCCGCAAAAUUCUCCAAGAAGUUGCUUAUGAGGGAUGUGCUGAAUUCAUGGCAAAGCCUUGCAGGGCUUGCUCAGACCUCGCUGGGAAGCUGCCUCAGGGGAGUGCUGCAUGCUGAACUUUGUAGGAGACUGGGCGGGAUCACCCCGUGCCCCACCAGUAAUACACCCAAGGGGUGCAGCUGAACUCGCCAUGAAGACGCCUGCCGGAGCACGCGGGAAAUUGCUGGGAGAACUCCACGGGGAUUCAGAGAUCGAAGGGCAAGUGGGAAAGAAAAUGCAAGAGUCUGCCCGCUUCCUCCGGCGCCCUCUAGUGACAACAUUUAGCAUUGCACCAGCUGGCAAGAGAAAUGUUCCGAGUAUCUGGAAAAGUGGGUAUGGAGCCAGAAGACAAUAGAUUGAUAACUAGAACAGGACAUUAAUGAAUUCCACUGGGGAGUGUAAAUCCUCCUUGGAUAAUAUUAGUUGAGUAAAUAUUUAUGCAAGCUGAGAAAUGAAUCAAAAUAAAGAAUAAAUUAGAAAAAGAUGAAUUGUAAAACAAAAGGCAAAGAACAAUUAAAUAGUGCUUUUAUUUAAGACUAAAUAAAACUACAUUACUAAAUGUAAUCAGUAAUGUGAUAUGAAAUUCAACAGAAUUAUACUACACUUGAUCUUAGCCAAAAGGCUGA